AAGCCUUGGACUCAACAUUCUUGGAUUAAAAAAAAAUACAAAUAAUAGAAAGGAAAAAAAAAUGGGAGCAUUAACCCAAAGACAAGAGGCAGUGACCAGUUCAAACGACGAAGUCAACAAACGUAUUCUUCAUAAUAAUAGCCUUUGUUUUAUUGCCUAGUGAGUGUCUUCUCCACUAUAUUACUACAAGAGUCAUUCUCCCUGCACCUCACCACCCUCGUCCUGCACCUCCAAAAAAAAAUUAAAUUUUAACUCCCCUUCUUCCUGCCGCAUCUCACACAAUGAAACCCUAACCUACACCCCCUCCUUCCUCCCUCUUUUUCUCUCUGUGUUGUCUCUGCCAUCCCAAACUGCUUGCGUUCCUCCGUUUUCCUCACAGAUCUGAGCUGGCGUCCAGCUUUCAGAGGAAGAAGGAGCAGUUAAAACUUUCAAGCCAUAGCAGCAAACCCAAGUCAAGACUACGAAAAGGAGUUUUAAAGUAUCUUGUUCGAAAGUCCACUGAAGAAAUUAAGUCCAUAUCAGAAGAGAACGAAGUUGAUAAUCAAUUGUCUGGAAAUGAUGUUCCAUCUGAUUUAAGUACAAGGGUAGAUUCAACCAUAAAUGUGAACAAAAGAAGGAGUUUUGGUCUUGGUGUUCUAUAUUUGUUUCCACUGGCAAAGAUUUUUGGAAGGUCAAAGGAUGUGGAUGCUUUAAGAAGUCAAAUUGAAGCAUUAAACAAAUCACUCCAAGAACAGAAAAUGAUAAUGAGAAAUGAGUUAGAUGAGAUUAAAGAACAAAUACAGACUUUAAAGAUCAGUGGUUCUUCUUCUGCUGCAUCUUAAGAUUUAUUCUUCUUCAUCUUCGUCACUUCAUUUCAACAAUAAAAAAGACUCUCCUGCUUCUCAUAUAUAAAAUAGGAUUGCAUUUGCUAUAUCUGAUAUACCAGAUGUCUAAUAGAAAUAAUAUGUUGCAAUAAAUGUUUAGCUUUUGUUGUGAAAAAUCAGUUAACUUACCCAAUUUAAAUUUAAUAUAUUAUUUUUCUUUUA